ACCGCUUACUACUGCCAACCCAUUAACAGUAUUGAAUAAUUUCAUAAAUUAUGAAAACUACCAUGCUAGAACUAGUAACAAGAAAAUGAAUUUCUCCAAAGUGUAAACAUAAACCAAAACGGACAACCCAUUGGUAAUUAACGACUCUGAACCCAUUAUAGCAAAACAUCUAGAAAACCCUAUACUUAAUACCGUUAACCUUACACAAGAACUCUUCUGGAAAGAUUAAAAGGAAGAGAAGGAACUCGGCAAAUUUUAACCCCGCCUGUUUACCAAAAACAUCGCCUCUUGCUUAGUUAUAAGAGGUCCCGCCUGCCCAGUGUUUCAAUCAACGGCCGCGUGAUCUAAACGCGCGAAGGUAGCAUAAUAAUUUGUUCUUUAAAUGAGGACUUGUAUCAAUGGCAUCACGAGGGUUAUACUGUCUCCUCUCCCCAAUCAGUGAAACUAAUCUCCCUGUGAAAAAGCAGGAAUAAGAACAUAAGACGAGAAGACCCCAUGGAGCUUAAAACAAGGCAGCAAUUCAAUAACAAAAUCAGAACAAUCUUAAGCCCUGUAUGCCAGUUUUAGGUUGGGGUGACCACGGAGCAAAGCAAAGCCUCCACAACGAGAAGGGAUUAUUCCCUUACCCAAGAGACACGCCUCUAAGAAUUAUUAAAAUAACGUCUAAUGAUCCGAUUAUCGACCAAUGGACCAAGUUACCCUGGGGAUAACAGCGCAAUCCACUCUGAGAGCUCCUAUCGACGAGUGGGCUUACGACCUCGAUGUUGGAUCAGGAUAUCCCAGUGGUGCAGCCGCUACUAAAG
rnacentral:rRNA from 1 species